rnacentral:rRNA from 1 species
AUACGGGGGGUGCAAGCGCUAAUCGGAAUUACUGGGCGUAAAGCGCGCGUAGGCGGUUUGCUCAGUCGGAUGUGAAAGCCCAGGGCUCAACCUUGGAACUGCAUACGAUACUGGCAAACUAGAGUGUGAGAGAGGACAGUGGAAUUUCCGGUGUAGCGGUGAAAUGCGUAGAUAUCGGAAGGAACAUCAGUGGCGAAGGCGACUGUCUGGCUCAACACUGACGCUGAGGUGCGAAAGCGUGGGUAGCAAACAGGAUUAGAUACCCUAGUAGUCC